CAAAUCAGCCAUUGACAACCCCGUGGUGCGCAGCUCUACUCUGACACUCACGGGGUGGCUGUGAGUCAGAGUCGACGCAACGAUAAUUGGUUUUACAUUAUGGAACUGUCAGUUUCAGGAUGUACAAAAUAACAGGAAGGAAGAAACCAAAAUCAGGUAGGGGUGUGUGUGUGUGUGUGUGCGUGUGUGUAAGGACCAAGGGAUGCUUUGCUUCUUGUCUCUGGUUUUUCAAUUUUCUUUAUGGUGUGGGCACCACUUGGUAAACAAAAACCAAAAACCAAACCAGCUGACAUUGAGUCGACUCCAACUCAGCAACCCCACGUGUAUCAGAGUAGAAUUGCUCCCUAGUGUUUGCAACGGCUGAUCUUUCAGAAGCAAGUCACCAGGACUUCCUUCUGGGGUGCCUCUGGGACCCUGGACUGUGCUACCUCAUGCUGAUUCAUGUCAUCACCAACCUGUUAUCAGCCUCCCCACUGUACAGAGGCAGAAUCCGAGGCUCAGACUGGCCCAAGGUCACACAGCUGGGAGUAGGAGAGAUGCUUCUUUUGACUGCAUCUCUCAAAACCUCGACCACCACUGACUGAGUGAGGAGUUCUAUGUUUGGAUGCGCGGAGGUGAGGGCCCCUGGGUGGUGCAAACAGUUAAUGCUCUCACCUGCUGAGAGGUUGGAAGUUCAAGUCUACCUAGAAGCACCUCAGAAGAAAGGCUUGGCCAUCUACAUCCCAAGGGUCAGCCAUGGAAAACCUUAUGGAGCACAGUUCUACUCUGACACACAUGGGGUCACUAUGAGUUGGAGGUGACUUGAGAGCGAUGAUUUAAUUUCUAAAUAGUUGUAGAUUUUUCUGGAUAUCUUCCCGUGAUUGACUUUAGUUCUUUUAAAUUUGUUAAGGUCUAUUUUCUGGCCCAGAAUAUGCUCUUUAUUGGGGAAUGUCCACGUGCACAUGACAAGAAUAUAUAUUCUGCUGUUGUUGGGUGGAAUGUUCUAUAAAUAUUCAAUGGAGUCUAGAUGGUCAACAGUGUUGUUCGGGUCUUCAAUAUCCUUACUGAUGUUCUUUCUACUUGUUUACUCUAUUAUUGAGAUAAGAGUGUUGAGGACUUCAGCUAUAAUUGUGUGUCUAUUUCUCUUACCAUUUCUGUUAGUUUUUGCAUUAUAUAUUUUGAAACUGUUGUUAGGUGCAUAUGCAUUGAUGAUUGUUAUGUCUUCCUGGAGAACUGACCCCUUAAUCAUUAUAUAAUGUCUCUCUUUAUCCCUGGUAAUAUUCCUUGUUCAGAAGUCUACUUGGUCUGCUGUUAAUAUAAGGUUGCUGCUAUUAGCUGUUAUCAAGCCAGCCCCGGACUCACAGAGACCCCAUGCAAAAUGGAAUAAAAUGCUGCCUUGUCCCGUGCCAUGCCCAUCAAAGUGUUGUGGGUUUUUUUUAGCUGGUUUUCGGAAGUCAACCACCAGGCCUUUCUCCCUAGUCUGUCUUAGUCUGGAAGCUCUGCUGAAACCUGUUUCGCAUUAGAGCAACAUGCAGGCCUCCACUGACAGAAGGGGGAUGGCUGCACGUGAAGUGCACUGCCGGGAAUCAAACGUCUGUCUCCUGCAUGAAAGGCAAGAAUUCUACAACUGAACCACCACUGUCCUCUCUCUCUAUGUAAAUGAUUGCCGUUGAGUCGAUUCCGAAUCAUAGGGACCCUAUAGGACA